AAUCAAGUAAGCUAAACUUAAAAGCUAUUGGGUUCAUACCCCAACGAUGGGACUCCCCUUGAUUA
rnacentral:tRNA from 1 species